rnacentral:rRNA from 1 species
GGGGGGGCAAGCGCUGGAUAGGCAUGCAGUCGAACGGUAACAGAGAAGCUUGCUUCUGCUGACGAGUGGCGAAAGGGUCCGUUAACGUGAGUAAUCUACCUCUAGGCUGGGGAUAGCCGUGCCAUAGCGGGAUUAAUACCGAAUGUGGCAUACCGUCUUAAGGCGAUAUUGCUAAAGCUGUUCUUUGAAUGGCGCCCAGAGAUGAGCUCGCGUCCUAUUAGCUAGUUGGUAAGGUAACGGCUUACCAAGGCAACGACAGGUAGGUGGUCUGAGAGGAUGGUCACCCACACUGGGACUGAGACACUGCCCAGACUCCUACGGGAGGCUGCAGUCGAGAAUCUUCCGCAAUGCGCGAAAGCGUGACGGAGCGAUGCCGCGUGAGGGAUGAAGGCUUUCGGGUCGUAAACCUCUGUCACCCGGAACGAAGAUCUGACGGUACCGGGAGAGGAAGUCACGGCUAACUACGUGCCAGCAGCCGCGGUAAUACGUAGGUGGCGAGCGUUAUUCGGAUUUAUUGGGCGUAAAGGGUCCGUAGGGGGUAUGCCAAGUCUGAUGUGAAAGCCCGAGGCUCAACUUCGGAACUGCAUUGGAAACUGGCAUACUAGAGCAUAGGAGAGGAGAGUGGAAUUCCUGGUGUAGCGGUGGAAUGCGUAGAUAUCAGGAGGAACACCGAUGGCGAAGGCAGCUCUCUGGACUAUUGCUGACCCUGAGGGACGAAAGCUAGGGGAGCGAACAGGAUUAGAUACCCUGGUAGUCCUAGCCGUAAACGUUGUACACUAGGUGUGGGAGGAAUUGACCCCCUCCGUGCCCAAGCUAACGCGAUAAGUGUACCGCCUGGGGAGUACCGCGGCAACCCUUAAACUCAAA